GGACCAUCAUGUCGGUCGUGCCUCGGUACGUACUGGUAUUGUUGGUUUCUCCCUUCUGACGAACCAUGAUGUCAUUUAUUCGGUGUUGUGGGGAAUCAGGACUGUUACUUUGAAAAAAUUAGAGUGCUUAAAGCAGGCUAUUGCCUGAAUACAUUAGCAUGGAAUAAUGAAAUAGGACGUUUGAUUCUAUUUUGUUGGUUUCUAGGAUUGACGUA
rnacentral:rRNA from 1 species